UACGUAGGGGGCAAGCGUUGUCCGGAAUCAUUGGGCGUAAAGGGUGCGUAGGCGGUUCGGUAAGUUUCGUGUGAAAUCUUCGGGCUCAACUCGAAGCCUGCACGAGAUACUGCCGGGCUUGAGUGUGGGAGAGGUGAGUGGAAUUUCCGGUGUAGCGGUGAAAUGCGUAGAUAUCGGAAGGAACACCUGUGGCGAAAGCGGCUCACUGGACCACAACUGACGCUGAGGCACGAAAGCUAGGGGAGCAAACAGG
rnacentral:rRNA from 1 species